CCUACGGGAGGCAGCAGUGGGGAAUAUUGCACAAUGGGGGAAACCCUGAUGCAGCGACGCCGCGUGAGUGAAGAAGUAAUUCGUUAUGUAAAGCUCUAUCAGCAGGGAAGAAAAUGACGGUACCUGAGUAAGAAGCCCCGGCUAACUACGUGCCAGCAGCCGCGGUAAUACGUAGGGGGCAAGCGUUAUCCGGAUUUACUGGGGGUAAAGGGAGCGUAGACGGCAGUGCAAGUCUGGAGCGAAAGGCGGGGGCGCAACCCCCGGACUGCUCUGGAAACUGUACGGCUGGAGUGCAGGAGAGGUGAGUGGAAUUCCAGGUGGAGCGGGGAAAUGCGUAGAUAUUAGGAGGAACACCAGGGGCGAAGGCGGCUUACUGGACUGUAACUGACGUUGAGGAUCGAAAGCGUGGGGAGCAAACAGGAGUAGAUACCCCGGUAGUC
rnacentral:rRNA from 1 species